rnacentral:rRNA from 1 species
UACGUAGGGACCAAGCGUUGUUCGGAUUUACUGGGCGUAAAGGGCGCGUAGGCGGCGUAUCAAGUCAAUUGUGAAAUCUCCGGGCUUAACUCGGAACGGUCAAUUGAUACUGAUGUGCUAGAGUGCAGAAAGGGCAGCUGGAAUUCUUGGUGUAGCGGUGAAAUGCGUAGAUACCAAGAGGAACACCUGAGGCGAAGGCGAGUUGCUAGGCUGACACUGACGCUGAGGCGCGAAAGCUAGGGGAGCGAACGGG